rnacentral:lncRNA from 1 species
GGCCAAGCACGAUGUGUUGCGAUGCAUGCGACCGAAGCAUGCGGCCAGCCAUGUGUGAGAUGGGGUGUCGACCUGCAUGCACUUCAGUCAUUCAGCAGGCCAUCUGGAAGUGGGUGUGUCAUCCUUCAUGAUACUGAGGCAUGCAGCCAGCCAUGUGGAGCACGAGGUGGAAAGGCCAAGCACGAGGUGUCGCGAUGCAUGCGACCGGGCCAUACGGCCAGACAUGUGGAAGACGUGGUGUCAGCUUGCAUGUGAGCAGGCCAUGCAUCCAGACAGGUAUAGGGUGUGGUGUGACCUUGCAUGUGAGCAGGCCAUGCUGAAGGACAAGUGGAGCACGAGGUGCCGCCGCGCAUGCGUCCGUAGCCAUGCGAAGCGACACACGGGCUGCCACACGGCUUGAUCCUGAUUGGUUACUGAUUCCUAUAAAUAGACCACGACCCCCUCUCA